rnacentral:lncRNA from 1 species
CUCUGAGGGUCUGUCAUUUGAUAGGCAGCUGGCUCCCAGCUGGUUGGUCAUCAGUUGGUCAGGUGGGCCACGCUGCUCGGCCAAUCAGGAUCAUCCGGCAGUUGGGCCCUUGGAGACAGAAUCAGUUAAACCGACAAAGCUCCAUAAGGUGGCCCAGCGUCUCAGUGAGUCAGGGCUGUUUGUUCAUCAGGCUCAGUCAGGAGGGCAGUUCGGGAAAGUUCACGGUCAGGGUGGCAGUGAUAGGUCAGCAGGUUGGGGCACGCAGGGACAAAAUGUGUGCCUGCCCUCAGCCUUGGAGAAGUCCAGACACCAGACGAGCUUGUGAGGAUGGGGAAAGUCACCCUCUGCCUGCCAUCAGCCACGAUUCCCUUUGCAUUGCCAGCCGUCCCAGCCUACCACCUCCUCCCUCCAGGGCUGCUGCCCCUGAGAUGGGGCACUGGAGCAAAAGGCUCCCCUAAGAACGAGGACAGGGGACCAGCAUCCCCUCCCCCAGCACCUCUCAGCUCCACACAGACAUGGAUGGAGGCCCAGCUCUGAGGCCCCUGACAGGGCCAUGGUUACUUGGAGAACCAGACACACCCACCACCUGGACCUGGGGCUGAGAGGCUCAGAGGAGGUGACAGGACUAAAGGAUCGGGUCACCAGGCUUCACACACUCAGAGGGUCCUGCAGGUUCCCCGGCCCCUCCCACCAGGCUGCUCCUGCACUGCCCACUCCUCGGAGGGUCUUCAGUGGACAGGAGGAAAUCAGGUCCGGGGAAGUUGCCACCAGACCUGUGCACACCAUGUCCCAUCCUGCAAGGAACGGGUUUGGUUUUGCCACUCAGGAUGCCUCCCUCUUCUUUUGCAAGCUCAGCUCUACCAGCACCCUUGCUGGUUCAAAUACCAUCCAUGGCUCCCCUGCCUUAUCUAGAGUAUAAACCAGCCCGAAAAUUCUUGCUGUUGGUAAAGGAGACUUGAAGCCAGAAAUGUGAUCAAAAAGGUAAUUCCCAACCCCUAUCUGCUCACUAAUC